GCCAGACUCCUACGGGAGGCAGCAGUGGGGGAUAUUGGACAAUGGGGGAAACCCUGAUCCAGCGACGCCGCGUGAGUGAAGAAGUAUUUCGGUACGUAAAGCUCUCUCAGCAGGGAAGAAAGAAAUGACGGUACCUGAGUAAGAAGCCCCGGCUAACUACGUGCCAGCAGCCGCGGUAAUACGUAGGGGGCAAGCGUUAUCCGGAAUUACUGGGUGUAAAGGGAGCGUAGACGGUUAAGCAAGUCUGGAGUGAAAGGCGGGGGCCCAACCCCCGGACUGCUCUGGAAACUGUGUAACUAGAGUGCAGGAGAGGUAAGCGGAAUUCCUAGUGUAGCGGUGAAAUGCGUAGAUAUUAGGAGGAACACCAGUGGCGAAGGCGGCUUACUGGACUGUAACUGACGUUGAGGCUCGAAAGCGUGGGGAGCAAACAGGAUUAGAUACCCCUGUA
rnacentral:rRNA from 1 species